rnacentral:rRNA from 1 species
UACGGAGGGGACUAGCGUUGUUCGGAAUUACUGGGCGUAAAGGGCUCGUAGGCGGCCAACUAAGUCAGACGUGAAAUCCCUCGGCUUAACCGGGGAACUGCGUCUGAUACUGGAUGGCUUGAGUUCGGGAGAGGGAUGCGGAAUUCCAGGUGUAGCGGUGAAAUGCGUAGAUAUCUGGAGGAACACCGGUGGCGAAGGCGGCAUCCUGGACCGAUACUGACGCUGAGGAGCGAAAGCCAGGGGAGCAAAGCGGG